AUGAACGCUAGCGGCAGGCUUAAUACAUGCAAGUCGAGGGGCAGCAUGAGUAGCAAUACUUGAUGGCGACCGGCAAACGGGUGCGGAACACGUACACAACCUUCCUUUCAGCGGGGAAUAGCCCAGAGAAAUUUGGAUUAAUACCCCAUAGAAUAUUGAAGAGGCAUCUCUUUAUUAUUAAAGAUUUAUCACUGAAAGAUGGGUGUGCGGCUGAUCAGGUAGUUGGCGGGGUAACGGCCCACCAAGCCUACGAUCAGUAGCUGAUGUGAGAGCAUGAUCAGCCACACGGGCACUGAGACACGGGCCCGACUCCUACGGGAGGCAGCAGUAAGGAAUAUUGGUCAAUGGACGCAAGUCUGAACCAGCCAUGCCGCGUGAAGGAUGAAGGUCCUCUGGAUUGUAAACUUCUUUUAUAUGGGACGAAAAAAGGGUAUUCUUACUCACUUGACGGUUACAUUUGAAUAAGCACCGGCUAACUCCGUGCCAGCAGCCGCGGUAAUACGGAGGGUGCAAGCGUUAUCCGGAUUCACUGGGUUUAAAGGGUGCGUAGGCGGGCUGUUAAGUCAGUGGUGAAAUCUCAGAGCUUAACUCUGAAACUGCCAUUGAUACUAUCAGUCUUGAAUGUUUUGGAGGUGAGCGGAAUACCUCAUGUAGCGGUGAAAUGNUUAGAUAUGACAUAGAACACCCAUUGCGAAGGCAGCUCACUACGGAAAUAUUGACGCUGAGGCACGAGAGCGUGAGGAUCAAACAGGAUUAGAUACCCUGGUAGUUCACGCCCUAAACGAUGGAUACUCGACAUACGCGAUACACAGUGUGUGUCUGAGCGCCACCAUUCAGUAUCCCACCUGGGAAGUAC
rnacentral:rRNA from 1 species